CCUACGGGUGGCAGCAGUGAGGAAUAUUGGUCAAUGGUCGGGAGACUGAACCAGCCAAGCCGCGUGAGGGAUGAAGGUACAGAGUAUCGUAAACCUCUUUUGUCAGGGAACAAAGGCGGGGACGUGUCCCCGGAUGAGUGUACCUGAAGAAAAAGCAUCGGCUAACUCCGUGCCAGCAGCCGCGGUAAUACGGAGGAUGCGAGCGUUAUCCGGAUUUAUUGGGUUUAAAGGGUGCGUAGGCGGACAGUCAAGUCAGCGGUAAAAAUGCGGUGCUCAACGCCGUACAGCCGUUGAAACUGGCAGUCUUGAGUGGGCGAGAAGUAUGCGGAAUGCGUGGUGUAGCGGUGAAAUGCAUAGAUAUCACGCAGAACUCCGAUUGCGAAGGCAGCAUACCGGCGCCCGACUGACGCUGAGGCACGAAAGCGUGGGUAUCGAACAGGAUUAGAUACCCUUGUAGUC
rnacentral:rRNA from 1 species